rfam:Aedes aegypti strain Liverpool supercont1.165 genomic scaffold, whole genome shotgun sequence.
UGCCCAGCAACUCCUAUCCCUACCUCCUCGUGGUACUGGCCGGGGUACGAGUAACCUUGGGGAAGAUCGGGUAACCAACCCCCGGUGGGAACUUUGGUCGAAUGCUGACAGGGAAGG